AACCCACAUAUAUUUAAAUUUUAAGGAAAUACAAAAUAUAAUAAUACUACCUAUGAUUUAUGAAUCAUUUGAUUUCAACACAACACGCCGAUCAGUAAGGUUUUCUGUAAGUUUUGUGUUCUUUUUAAUUUUUUACUAAAUUGGUAAAGAUUGGCGUUAUGGGAGAAAAGCUAGACGUAAGUUAAGUGCACCUAAAAUAAAAAAACAUCGAUUACAAAAUUUACAGAAUAAAAAAAUUGAUAUACAAAAUAACUGCGGUGAUCAGGAAAAUACACAUUUGCCAGAAUCUGAAAAUGUUUUGACAGAUAACAAUAUAGAACUUACUACUGUGACUCGGAAUAAUACUAAAGAUUUAAACGCUUCAGAAUCUUCGUACAAUGAUAACUUCACAUUUCAAACAAAAUCGUUUUUUACUUCUACUCCGGUGAAUAGAAUGUUAACUGAAGUAGUUGAGCAGGAAAAUAAUAGUUCAGAAAUAAAUAGCUCAUUUGAUAGUCUGGAUGGAAGAAGAUUAGUAAAUAUUAAAUAUAUUUUUGAAUCUAUUCAAUCAAUAAAACAUCAAGGGUUUGAUUGCACAUUUCGUGACUUGGAGUUUACUAAAGAAAAGAGGAAAGGAUUUUGCAGUACUUUUUGUUUUACUUGCAAAGUCUUAAUCAAAGAAAACC